UGACCAGACUCCUACGGGAGGCAGCAGUGGGGAAUAUUGCACAAUGGGGGAAACCCUGAUGCAGCGACGCCGCGUGAAGGAUGAAGUAUUUCGGUAUGUAAACUUCUAUCAGCAGGGAAGAAAAUGACGGUACCUGACUAAGAAGCCCCGGCUAACUACGUGCCAGCAGCCGCGGUAAUACGUAGGGGGCAAGCGUUAUCCGGAUUUACUGGGUGUAAAGGGAGCGUAGACGGUAUGGCAAGUCUGAUGUGAAAACCCGGGGCUCAACCCCGGGACUGCAUUGGAAACUGUCGGACUAGAGUGUCGGAGAGGCAAGUGGAAUUCCUAGUGUAGCGGUGAAAUGCGUAGAUAUUAGGAGGAACACCAGUGGCGAAGGCGGCUUACUGGACGGCAACUGACGCUGAGGCUCGAAAGCGUGGGGAGCAAACAGGAUUAGAUACCCCAGUA
rnacentral:rRNA from 1 species